GCCAGAUUGUCUUCGCAGCAUGCAAGACUCUCCAGCAUUAUUUCUUGGAUUGACUUCUCGGUUUCGACUCCUGCCUGUCCCUGACCACGUCUUAUUGUCUCAGCCCUUGGAUCCUCUGUCAAGUUUCUUCGCUCCGGUGAGAACUUCAGGUUUUGCUGUGUUACUGGCUUCCCGACCUACUGCCUGUCCACGACUAUCCUUCCGUCUGAUCCCUCUGGAGUCAGUCUGCCCCGCUGAUUGUCUGCCUGGAUUUGACAUUGCCUCCGCUUCGACCAGGAGCCCAGCCUGCCCCUCGACAGUGCCGCUGCACUUCACAAAGACUCUCAGGUGUAGUGUGUUUUCUGUGUGCACUCACCUUUCUGCCUGUUGGACCUGUUUCCUGUUGGUCCUCGAUAUUAUACAGAGACUGCUAAAUCAUCCCAGUAUCUUCAGUUACCUGUUUACUGUGAACUGUUACAAUAAAAGUAGCUUCUAAACAACUACCUGCCGUUGUGCUGCACUUGGGUCCUACAUCCACACCCCCGUGACACUGAACACUUAAAUGAUAUCCAAAAACUUACAAAGAAAUGGGGACAUUGAGUCAAGGGGUUAGAACUUUUAUGACCUAGGGGAGGCACAUCUGAUGUGACUGUGUGUGAGGAUUUGGAGCAGCAAAUUAAAGACCAUUAACACAAUGAUAAAAGUAAAAAACGCAAAAACAAAGAUUUGGAACUAAAAGUACUGGACAUGUUCAAAAGUGAAGGCCAACACUAUUUUAUGAAUACAUUAAAGAUUGGGUUUGCAGAGCUAGAAAGCAAUAAGGAGAAGGUGGAGAAAAGAGAGUCACAAACAUGGAAAAUGGGUAAAACAGAAAAGAGAUUCUGCAGCCAAAUCUAGUAUCAGAAAAUGUAGGAAAUUAUCCUUCUCUUUUAGGGAAAGUUAAUAUAUGUGAUUUUGAGUUUGCUGAGGGAGACAAAGCCCACAACAAACCUUUGCCCGAUUCCCCAAAGUAAUGAUCAUAAGUAAUUGUUGUGGGAAUGAUAAUGCUGAUUAUGCUGAAGUCAUAUUGGUUUAAUCUGGGUAACAAUAACAUAGACUUGCCACAUGAACUCUGUCACCCAAUAGUACAAGUAGUAGUAGCACAAAUACUUCACAGCUUAGGUAAGAAGCAGGGCCCACAAAUAUCAUGUGACCCUGCACAAAAUAUGAUCUUAGAUAUAGGCCUAGGUUAUGUUCACCUGAUAAUACAUUGAUAGUAUGUUUUCAAUCUUAAAGGGCACACAGGCUAGCUAUGUGCCGUGGAAAACCACAUACCUUGCUGUGCUGAUUGCCAGACUACCACAAACUGAACAGGGGGCAGGGAGAUGGAUACAAGCUUUUGAGGAUGAACUGUAGGGAAAAUGUUGACUACACCAGACAUGAAAGCACUUUUGGCUUAACUGCUGGGAACCAAGACGAUGGAAGAGUUUCUGCACAAGGCAAAACAAGGUUGGAUGCUGGGAGUGAGUUCAAUGCAUAUUGUGAUGUGAUGUGGAGGGCGCUGCGAGAUGAAGAGUGGAGACUGAAAGAGCAGGAAAAGCACAUUCAGCGGAAGUUGAUACAGCUACAGCUGGGAUCCUUGCAAAGCAGAAACAAAGUACAGAUUCGGGCCACGAUAGUGGCCACCUCUAAGGGGGACACUGCAAAAGAGACCCAGCGAUGCAGACCGUGCAGAUGCUAACUGCAGUAAAGCCUGUGACAGCAACCUGUUUAAUCAUGUGUUGUGAAUGUUUAUCCUCAGACAGAACCCUGCUCCAUAGAGAUGAUAUAACCCGGCAGGGGGAGAGAGUGGAAUCUGACGGACAUCUAAAAGCCUGCUGGGAAUGUGAUCAUACUGGACAUUUUUGACAACUGCCCAGACCAGGGAUGGCUCUGGCUGGAGAUGUGGUAGGGGGCCCCAGCCCAGGCAAUGUGAAAGUGGUGGCUUUCUACAGUGUGAUUUUUGUGGAUGAUGGAGAGAGUUAAUUGUUAGUUUUAAUUUUAACCCUUGUUGACCUUAUAGAC
rnacentral:lncRNA from 1 species